ACCCGCGCGGGCACCCGCACAGCUCAUGCUGGAGCGGCAUGACAGAACCUAUCUAGGAAUCCUAAUAAUAUGUCUCAGAAGGGUCAGCCAAAUUGGCAAAUCUGCAAGGAGUCUUGCGCCCACGUGACAAUCAUGAGAUGACGGUUCUUGCGCUCCACCGCUGAUGUGCCGUCAACUAAUGUGGAACCCAUGUGUAAUCCAGCCAACCAAGCAACAAAAGGCGCCACUCAUCUCGACUCACCUGGCAGGAAUAAAAAUGACCAAGGAAGGUCAGCAUACGCAAGAGUUCUAAUAGAUUGAGAUACUCCACGGUGACAAAUAUGACUCCAUUCAUCUUGGUCAGGCGGCAUAGCAUGACCACUGCCGUGAGGAACGACGCAGGAGCUGCACUAAUUCCCUUGCCUUGGAAUAGUCUUCUUUAACUUUACCAGAAGCAAUCCAUACCUCUCACCUCAGCGUCUGCUUGGGUCUCAGCGUGCAUUCUUAUUAUCAGUGAUGGAGCACGUCGUCCAUUUCACUGAGAGGCAAUGAGAACGAACUGGCCAGAACAGGACCCAGCAGGGAAGACGCAGCAUCACCGACCACGCCGUUGUGCACACUGCUUGCUUGCCUUCCAGCACUCCCAGCCUGAGGACCAAGCCUCUCCUAUCCAGGUGGGAUCCGUUAUGUUGUCCUCGUCAACCUCGUCAUCUGCACCACCCGUGUGGACUGAUUAUGUUGCGACGACGACCCGAUCGUCACCACAUAUUUUUAUGGACUCAGAUGUUUCAGAUUACGAGGAAGACCUAAAUUUAUAUGACCAGCUGCCUGAUUUGGACUGAAUUUUCUCUCACAGUAAUGAGUCUCAAUCAGUUUGUUUCAAGGUCCCAUGCUUCCAUCCCCCGUGUGCCUUCGCCCUGUAAUUCCAAAUCCUCUUCCUCUAAUCCUUUCUGGGCGACCCGCUUGGCCAUCUAUCCGGGUCCUCCGCGUGGAUGCCAGAGGAGACGCCCAAGUAGGGUGCUGGCUUGUGCGUUCCACAGCUGUGCGACCAAGCCACAGUCGAUAUCCGCUCACGCUUCGCCGGCGACCAAGCCACAGCCGACCUCCGCCAACGCUUUGCCGACGACCCAGCCACAGCGGCAUCCCGCUUCUGCUCCAGUAACAGCCAAGCUACGGCUGAUGUCCAUCCACAUCUCGCCACCGGCCGAACCUCAGCCGACUUUCCCCAAUGCUU